GCAACCUGCCUGACACAGGGGGAUAAUCCGAAGAAAUUUGGUCUAAUACCCCAUAAUACCGAUAUAGGCAUCUAUGUUGGUUGAAAGCUUUGGUGGUGUCAGAUGGGCAUGCGUUGUAUUAGCUAGUUGGUGAGGUAAUAGCUUACCAAGGCGAUGAUCAGUAGCUGGUCCGAGAGGAUGAUCAGCCACACUGGGACUGAGACACGGCCCAGACUCCUACGGGAGGCAGCAUGA
rnacentral:rRNA from 1 species